rnacentral:miRNA from 1 species
GAGGAUAUGCUCAGCACUGUU